rnacentral:misc_RNA from 1 species
GAAAGGAUGAUGUUGCAACCUUUGGUUCACAAUCCUCACAUAACCAUUCCGCAUAUUCAUCAAAAGUUGCUGGUAAUACAUCUAAGCAAUAACGAUGCACAGCAUAAGCCUGGCAUGCCCGACAAAAAAUCAAAAGCUCAGUCCAGCCUCUGUCACCACAUUUCUGACAAAUAGUCACCAUGGUGAAAAGAAAGAAAAGGGCCCAGCAUAAAUCCAACGAAUGUUCUCGAGAGAACCCAGAAAGCAAAACGACACCAAUUGAACUUAUUUAAGAGUUUCAAUUCAUCAAUGUUAGCGAAGAAAACC